rnacentral:rRNA from 1 species
GAUGAACGCUAGCGGCAGGCUUAACACAUGCAAGUCGAGGGGUAGAAGGAGCUUGCUCCUUUGAGACCGGCGCACGGGUGCGUAACGCGUAUGCAAUCUACCUUUUGCAGAGGGAUAGCCCAGAGAAAUUUGGAUUAAUACCUCAUAGUAUGUGAGGAUGGCAUCAUUUUCACAUUAAAGUCACAACGGCAAAAGAUGAGCAUGCGUCCCAUUAGCUAGUUGGUAAGGUAACGGCUUACCAAGGCUACGAGUGGGUAGGGGUCCUGAGAGGGAGAUCCCCCACACUGGUACUGAGACACGGUCCAGACUCCUACGGGAGGCAGCAGUGGGGAAUUUCCGCAAUGGGACGAAAGCCUGACGGAGCAAUACCGCGUGAGGGAAGAAAGCC